rfam:Bradyrhizobium sp. ORS278,complete sequence.
GCGGGUGUAGCUCAGUGGUAGAGCACGACCUUGCCAAGGUCGGGGUCGAGGGUUCGAACCCCUUCGCCCGCU